GACACUACAAACCACAAAAAUAAUAUUAUUAACACUUUAAACUUCUAAACUAGCUUUAUUGUUUGCACCCCCCAUAAUAAGAUGACCGAACAGUAACGUCUGUUAUCAAAACAGUUAACUUCUGAAAAUUUUAGCGCUGGGAGUUCGGUGAAAACCGAUCAAACCGACCCGAUCAAACCGACAUUUUCGGUUAUCGGCGUAAACCGAACAGCUUCUUCCUAACCGAUCGGCGAAAUUAAUUUGGGUAAUCGGAUUUCGGUUCGGGUCGGUUUGGUAAUCGGAACCGAUCGGUUUUACUUAAACCGAGAAUCUGCAGCCAUAUAUAAGGAUACUGAGUCAUUUACCCUAAUUUGGUUUCAUUUUCUUCUGCGCCUCUGCCUCUAUCUAAAGCCGAGUUCAUCUUCUUCUCCAACCUAAGCCAUAAUCAGCACCACGUUUCUUUUUCUUCAUCAAUUGUUGUUAGCUCUUCUUCUUUCUACACCCGUAACCACAAUUUUUUAGGGAUAAGCUCUUUUUUUCUUCCCUUAAUCGCUUCUUAGUCUGAUUAUUUGUUGUUUUCUCGCUAAGCUCUUCCUCAUCACCAAACUCACGGCUGGAUUCACUGAUUUUCUUGCGGUUGGCAAAUAACAAGCUUCAUCGGACAUAAAGAUUUGACAUCACCCUUGCCGUGGUUGCCUCGCCGUGGUUGCCUCGCCGUCGCCGUCGUUGUCUCUUUGUCACCGUCGUUGUCUCGUUGUCACCGUCAACCAUUGUCGAAAACCCUAAUUUUAAUGGGUUGGGCCUUGUAAAAUUAUUUAUUGGGUUUGUAAAUUUGUUAAUGUAUUUUGAUGAUGUAAUGAGUUUGGGCUUUGUUUUCA